rnacentral:lncRNA from 1 species
GGCGUUGGCCGUAGAUAGCGAUGGAAUAACUGCCGUUGCCGUUGGUGGCCGUUGGGCCUUCCUUACUUAUUUUAUUUGUUAGUUUAUUAUUUACAAACAUUUAGUUUGAUGGUUAAAUUGAAAUUCUCAUUGUAAAUUCAUUAUCUAAGACUUUCAGCUUGUUUUGAGAAACAUCAGAGUUGAGACAGAACUAACUUGUUAUCAAUGGUGAGACAGAACUAACUUGUUAUCAAUGGAUAAUAUGGAUUCAAAUUCAGAAUCUGCUCGUUUGGACAACUCUUCAGAGCUGACACAGAGCUAACACAGAGCUAACUUGUUGUCAAUGGAUUGACAAUGGAUUCAAUUUCAGACUCAGCUAGUUUGGACAAACUCUUCAGAGCUGACACAGAGCUAACUUGUUGUCAAUGGAUUGACAAUGGAUUCAAAUUCAGACUUUCAGCUUGUUGUGAGAAAUUCUAUUGGUUGGCGUAACAGUUCUAUUGGUUGCGUAACUUUAAUGCAUUAUUGUUGUUUGUGCCUUCAUCAAGAAUGAUUAUGGAUCAGCCUAUUCUGUAACCUGUUGGCUAACAUGCAUGGGAUUUUGUUGACCUUGUUGUUGACGAUUUUUGUGUGAUCUUCCUAUUUAAGCUCAUAUAAGAUAUAACCAUUUCUUCUCGUUUGCACUUCUUAUGCUUAAUUUCCUGUAUAAAGUUAUACCGAUAUGUUUAAACUCUGUAACUCGGGGUCUUUAAGUUAUUCAACUCAUCUAUUGAAUGUAAAACUAAAAAUAUUUCACAAUAAUAAGAAUUACAAAUAUUUCACAAA